rnacentral:rRNA from 1 species
AUUGAACGCUGGCGGCAGGCCUAACACAUGCAAGUCGAACGGUAACAGGAAGCAGCUUGCUGCUUUGCUGACGAGCGGCGGACGGGUGAGUAAUGUCUGGGAAACUGCCUGAUGGAGGGGGAUAACUACUGGAAACGGUAGCUAAUACCGCAUAACGUCGCAAGACCAAAGAGGGGGACCUUCGGGCCUCUUGCCAUCGGAUGUGCCCAGAUGGGAUUAGCUAGUAGGUGGGGUAACGGCUCACCUGGGCGACGAUCCCUAGCUGGUCUGAGAGGAUGACCAGCCACACUGGAACUGAGACACGGUCCAGACUCCUACGGGAGGCAGCAGUGGGGAAUAUUGCACAAUGGGCGCAAGCCUGAUGCAGCCAUGCCGCGUGUAUGAAGAAGGCCUUCGGGUUGUAAAGUACUUUCAGCGGGGAGGAAGGGAGUAAAGUUAAUACCUUUGCUCAUUGACGUUACCCGCAGAAGAAGCACCGGCUAACUCCGUG